rnacentral:lncRNA from 1 species
AUUAAAGAAGAAAUCAAUAAAAAUUUUACAAUAAUUAAAUAUAACUUCUUGUAUUAAUCUAAACAAUAUUUUUACCAUUAUAAUGAAACAAAUUAUUAUUAUUAACGUUUUUUCAAACAUUAAACAAUAUACAUUCGGAGACGAGGCUUCAAGAUGGCGACUCAACAAAGCCACCCCACAUCAACACCAGCAAACUCCGACUGAUGCCCACCGCACAAGUAAGUCACCAGCCAAACCCUUACAAAGGAAAGAUUCUGCAUUGAUGUCAUUCAUUCGUGUUCUACAUGUUGAAAAUGGCAAAUUUGAUGCUUAGGCAAGAAAGUUCAUAUUUGUGAUUUCCUUUGUUUAUAAUUACUAAACAAGUAAAUAUGCCAUAUCUUUUAGUAUGUG